rnacentral:rRNA from 1 species
GGGUUGUGAGGUUAAGCGACUAAGCGUACACGGUGGAUGCCCUGGCAGUCAGAGGCGAUGAAGGACGUGCUAAUCUGCGAAAAGCGUCGGUAAGGUGAUAUGAACCGUUAUAACCGGCGAUGUCCGAAUGGGGAAACCCAGUGCAAUUCGUUGCACUAUCGUUAACUGAAUACAUAGGUUAACGAGGCGAACCGGGGGAACUGAAACAUCUAAGUACCCCGAGGAAAAGAAAUCAACCGAGAUUCCCCCAGUAGCGGCGAGCGAACGGGGAGCAGCCCAGAGUCUGAAUCAGCUUGUGUGUUAGUGGAACGGUCUGGAAAGUCCGACGGUACAGGGUGAUAGUCCCGUACACCAAAAUGCACAGGUUGUGAACUCGAAGAGUAGGGCGGGACACGUGGUAUCCUGUCUGAAUAUGGGGGGACCAUCCUCCAAGGCUAAAUACUCCUGACUGACCGAUAGUGAACCAGUACCGUGAGGGAAAGGCGAAAAGAACCCCGGCGAGGGGAGUGAAAAAGAACCUGAAACCGUGUACGUACAAGCAGUGGGAGCACCUUCGGGUGUGACUGCGUACCUUUUGUAUAAUGGGUCAGCGACUUAUAUUCUGUAGCAAGGUUAACCGUAUAGGGGAGCCGCAGGGAAACCGAGUCUUAACUGGGCGUUAAGUUGCAGGGUAUAGACCCGAAACCCGGUGAUCUAGCCAUGGGCAGGUUGAAGGUUGGGUAACACUAACUGGAGGACCGAACCGACUAAUGUUGAAAAAUUAGCGGAUGACUUGUGGCUGGGGGUGAAAGGCCAAUCAAACCGGGAGAUAGCUGGUUCUCCCCGAAAGCUAUUUAGGUAGCGCCUCGUGAAUUCAUCUUCGGGGGUAGAGCACUGUUUCGGCUAGGGGGUCAUCCCGACUUACCAACCCGAUGCAAACUACGAAUACCGAAGAAUGUUAUCACGGGAGACACACGGCGGGUGCUAACGUCCGUCGUGAAGAGGGAAACAACCCAGACCGCCAGCUAAGGUCCCAAAGUCAUGGUUAAGUGGGAAACGAUGUGGGAAGGCACAGACAGCCAGGAUGUUGGCUUAGAAGCAGCCAUCAUUUAAAGAAAGCGUAAUAGCUCACUGGUCGAGUCGGCCUGCGCGGAAGAUGUAACGGGGCUAAACCAUGCACCGAAGCUGCGGCAGCGACACUAUGUGUUGUUGGGUAGGGGAGCGUUCUGUAAGCCUGCGAAGGUGGCCUGUGAGGGUUGCUGGAGGUAUCAGAAGUGCGAAUGCUGACAUAAGUAACGAUAAAGCGGGUGAAAAGCCCGCUCGCCGGAAGACCAAGGGUUCCUGUCCAACGUUAAUCGGGGCAGGGUGAGUCGACCCCUAAGGCGAGGCCGAAAGGCGUAGUCGAUGGGAAACAGGUUAAUAUUCCUGUACUUGGUGUUACUGCGAAGGGGGGACGGAGAAGGCUAUGUUAGCCGGGCGACGGUUGUCCCGGUUUAAGCAUGUAGGCGGAGGUUCCAGGUAAAUCCGGUACCUUUUAACGCUGAGGUGUGAUGACGAGGCACUACGGUGCUGAAGUAACAAAUGCCCUGCUUCCAGGAAAAGCCUCUAAGCAUCAGGUAACAUCAAAUCGUACCCCAAACCGACACAGGUGGUCAGGUAGAGAAUACCAAGGCGCUUGAGAGAACUCGGGUGAAGGAACUAGGCAAAAUGGUGCCGUAACUUCGGGAGAAGGCACGCUGGUGUGUAGGUGAAGUCCCUGCGGAUGGAGCUGAGACCAGUCGAAGAUACCAGCUGGCUGCAACUGUUUAUUAAAAACACAGCACUGUGCAAACACGAAAGUGGACGUAUACGGUGUGACGCCUGCCCGGUGCCGGAAGGUUAAUUGAUGGGGUUAUCCGUAAGGAGAAGCUCUUGAUCGAAGCCCCGGUAAACGGCGGCCGUAACUAUAACGGUCCUAAGGUAGCGAAAUUCCUUGUCGGGUAAGUUCCGACCUGCACGAAUGGCGUAAUGAUGGCCAGGCUGUCUCCACCCGAGACUCAGUGAAAUUGAACUCGCUGUGAAGAUGCAGUGUACCCGCGGCAAGACGGAAAGACCCCGUGAACCUUUACUAUAGCUUGACACUGAACAUUGAGCCUUGAUGUGUAGGAUAGGUGGGAGGCUUUGAAGCGUGGACGCCAGUCUGCGUGGAGCCAACCUUGAAAUACCACCCUUUAAUGUUUGAUGUUCUAACGUUGGCCCCUUAUCGGGGUUGCGGACAGUGUCUGGUGGGUAGUUUGACUGGGGCGGUCUCCUCCCAAAGCGUAACGGAGGAGCACGAAGGUUAGCUAAUCCUGGUCGGACAUCAGGAGGUUAGUGCAAUGGCAUAAGCUAGCUUGACUGCGAGCGUGACGGCGCGAGCAGGUGCGAAAGCAGGUCAUAGUGAUCCGGUGGUUCUGAAUGGAAGGGCCAUCGCUCAACGGAUAAAAGGUACUCCGGGGAUAACAGGCUGAUACCGCCCAAGAGUUCAUAUCGACGGCGGUGUUUGGCACCUCGAUGUCGGCUCAUCACAUCCUGGGGCUGAAGUAGGUCCCAAGGGUAUGGCUGUUCGCCAUUUAAAGUGGUACGCGAGCUGGGUUUAGAACGUCGUGAGACAGUUCGGUCCCUAUCUGCCGUGGGCGCUGGAGAAUUGAGGGGGGCUGCUCCUAGUACGAGAGGACCGGAGUGGACGCAUCACUGGUGUUCGGGUUGUCAUGCCAAUGGCACUGCCCGGUAGCUAAAUGCGGAAGAGAUAAGUGCUGAAAGCAUCUAAGCACGAAACUUGCCCCGAGAUGAGUUCUCCCUGAGACUAUAAGUCUCCUGAAGGAACGUUGAAGACGACGACGUUGAUAGGCCGGGUGUGUAAGCGCAGCGAUGCGUUGAGCUAACCGGUACUAAUGAACCGUGAGGCUUAACCUUACAACGCCGAAG